rnacentral:tRNA from 1 species
GCCCUUCUAGCUCAAUGGCAGAGCGGCGGUUUUGUAAACCGUUGAUCGGAGUUCGAUUCUCCGGGAGGGCUCCA